rnacentral:rRNA from 1 species
CCUACGGGUGGCAGCAGUGGGGGAUAUUGGACAAUGGGGGAAACCCUGAUCCAGCGACGCCGCGUGAGUGAAGAAGUACUUCGGUAUGUAAAGUUCUAUCAGCAGGGAAGAAAGAAUUGACGGUACCUGAGUUAGAAGCUCCGGCUAACUACGUGCCAGCAGCCGCGGUAAUAUGUAGGGGACAAGCGUGUACCGGAAUUACUGGGUGCAAUGGCAGUGGUGAUGGUAAUGCAAGCCUGGAGUGAAAGGCGGGGGCCCACCCCCCGGACUGCUCUAGAAACUAGCUAACUGGAGUGCGGUAGAGGCAGGCGGAAUUCCUAGUGUAGCGGUGAAAUGCGUAGAUAUAAGGAAGAACACCAAAGGCGAAGGCAGCCUACUGGGUUGAUACUGACGUUGAGGGUCGAAAGCGUGGGGAGCAAACAGGAUUAGAUACCCCAGUAGUC